AUACGGAGGAUGCAAGCGUUACUCGGAAUCACUGGGCGUAAAGCGCGCGCAGGCGGUCUUUUAAGUUGGAUGUGAAAGUCUACGGCUCAACCGUAGAACUGCAUCCAAAACUAUUAGACUAGAGUGUGGGAGAGGAAGAUGGAAUUAGUUGUGUAGGGGUAAAAUCCGUAGAGAUAACUAGGAAUACCAAAAGCGAAGGCAAUCUUCUGGAACACUACUGACGCUGAGGCGCGAAAGCGUGGGGAGCAAACAGGAUUAGAUACCCUAGUAGUCC
rnacentral:rRNA from 1 species